UCCACCGAAAGAAAAAGAGUGGCGAACGGGUGAGUAACACGUGGGUAACCUGCCCAUCAGAAGGGGAUAACACUUGGAAACAGGUGCUAAUACCGUAUAACACUAUUUUCCGCAUGGAAGAAAGUUGAAAGGCGCUUUUGCGUCACUGAUGGAUGGACCCGCGGUGCAUUAGCUAGUUGGUGAGGUAACGGCUCACCAAGGCCACGAUGCAUAGCCGACCUGAGAGGGUGAUCGGCCACACUGGGACUGAGACACGGCCCAGACUCCUACGGGAGGCAGCAGUAGGGAAUCUUCGGCAAUGGACGAAAGUCUGACCGAGCAACGCCGCGUGAGUGAAGAAGGUUUUCGGAUCGUAAAACUCUGUUGUUAGAGAAGAACAAGGAUGAGAGUAGAACGUUCAUCCCUUGACGGUAUCUAACCAGAAAGCCACGGCUAACUACGUGCCAGCAGCCGCGGUAAUACGUAGGUGGCAAGCGUUGUCCGGAUUUAUUGGGCGUAAAGCGAGCGCAGGCGGUUUCUUAAGUCUGAUGUGAAAGCCGGCGGCUCAACCGGGGAGGGUC
rnacentral:rRNA from 1 species